GAGCCUUUCUCCUUGCAGUGGAUGUGGGUGCUACAAAACAACAGGCACCACGGUGUCCCACACCAAAAUCAAGUAUAAAAGGCUGAAGUGCCGAGAGUGUCGUGCCCCAGCAAACCAGCCGGUUCCUGAGAGCUUUUAGUCAGCUCAGAACUUUGAAGGGUUUCUCAAGAGAUCAAAGCUGGAGGAGUUGCGUGCCUGGGUCCCACUACAGACCUAUGAUGACAUCCGUCACAGAACCAGGAAAGAUGCAGAACCAAGAAAGAUGCAGAGCCAGGAGGGAGCCUACAGGAGCAGAGAUGUCUCAGCCUUCCUAGCUCCUGCUGGAUCCUGCAUCUCAGAUCGUGUGUAGAUUGAACAGUUGAGGCCUGCCACUAAUCUCAUGAAUCCUUAUUAA
ensembl:antisense 4921509A06Rik RIKEN cDNA 4921509A06 gene